GGCAGCGUGGCUUAGUGGAAAGAGCACAGGCCUGGAAGUCAGGGAUCAGGGGUUCUAAUCCCUCCUCUGCCA
rnacentral:tRNA from 1 species